GGAAUAUUGCACAAUGGGCGCAAGCCUGAUGCAGCAACGCCGCGUGAGGGACGACGGCCUUCGGGUUGUAAACCUCUUUUAGCAGGGAAGAAGCGAAAGUGACGGUACCUGCAGAAAAAGCACCGGCUAACUACGUGCCAGCAGCCGCGGUAAUACGUAGGGUGCAAGCGUUAUCCGGAAUUAUUGGGCGUAAAGAGCUCGUAGGCGGUUUGUCACGUCUGCUGUGAAAUCCCGAGGCUCAACCUCGGGCUUGCAGUGGGUACGGGCAGACUAGAGUGCGGUAGGGGAGAUUGGAAUUCCUGGUGUAGCGGUGGAAUGCGCAGAUAUCAGGAGGAACACCGAUGGCGAAGGCAGAUCUCUGGGCCGUAACUGACGCUGAGGAGCGAAAGCAUGGGGAGCAAACAGGAUUAGAUACCCCAG
rnacentral:rRNA from 1 species